UACGUAGGGUGCAAGCGUUGUCCGGAAUUAUUGGGCGUAAAGAGCUCGUAGGCGGUCUGUCGCGUCGGCUGUGAAAACCCAGGGCUCAACCCUGGGCCUGCAGUCGAUACGGGCAGACUAGAGUCCGGCAGGGGAGACUGGAAUUCCUGGUGUAGCGGUGAAAUGCGCAGAUAUCAGGAGGAACACCGGUGGCGAAGGCGGGUCUCUGGACCGAUACUGACGCUGAGGAGCGAAAGCGUGGGGAGCGAACAGG
rnacentral:rRNA from 1 species